CCUACGGGAGGCAGCAGUGGGGAAUAUUGCACAAUGGGGGAAACCCUGAUGCAGCGACGCCGCGUGAGUGAAGAAGUAUUUCGGUACGUAAAGCUCUAUCAGCAGGGAAGAAAAUGACGGUACCUGACUAAGAAGCCCCGGCUAACUACGUGCCAGAAGCCGCGGUAAUACGUAGGGUGCAAGCGUUAUCCGGAUUUACUGGGUGUAAAGGGAGCGUAGACGGCAGCGCAAGUCUGGAGUGAAAUCCCAUGGCUUAACCAUGGAACUGCUUGUGAAACUGUGCAGCUAGAGUGCAGGAGAGGUAAGCGGAAUUCCUAGUGUAGCGGUGAAAUGCGUAGAUAUUAGGAGGAACACCAGUGGCGAAGGCGGCUUACUGGACUGUAACUGACGUUGAGGCUCGAAAGCGUGGGGAGCAAACAGGAUUAGAUACCCGAGUAGUC
rnacentral:rRNA from 1 species